rnacentral:rRNA from 1 species
AGAGUUUGAUCAUGGCUCAGGACGAACGCUGGCGGCGUGCCUAAUACAUGCAAGUCGAGCGGAAUGAAGAAGAAGCUUGCUUCUUCUGAUUUUAGCGGCGGACGGGUGAGUAACACGUGGGCAACCUACCUUGUAGAUUGGGAUAACUCCGGGAAACCGGGGCUAAUACCGAAUAAUCCAUUUUGCUUCAUGGCGAAAUGUUAAAAGGCGGCUUCGGCUGUCACUGCAAGAUGGGCCCGCGGCGCAUUAGCUAGUUGGUAAGGUAACGGCUUACCAAGGCGACGAUGCGUAGCCGACCUGAGAGGGUGAUCGGCCACACUGGGACUGAGACACGGCCCAGACUCCUACGGGAGGCAGCAGUAGGGAAUCUUCCACAAUGGACGAAAGUCUGAUGGAGCAACGCCGCGUGAGUGAAGAAGGUUUUCGGAUCGUAAAACUCUGUUGUAAGGGAAGAACACGUACGAGAGUAACUGCUCGUACCUUGACGGUACCUUAUUAGAAAGCCACGGCUAACUACGUGCCAGCAGCCGCGGUAAUACGUAGGUGGCAAGCGUUGUCCGGAAUUAUUGGGCGUAAAGCGCGCGCAGGCGGUCCUUUAAGUCUGAUGUGAAAGCCCACGGCUCAACCGUGGAGGGUCAUUGGAAACUGGGGGACUUGAGUACAGAAGAGGAAAGCGGAAUUCCAAGUGUAGCGGUGAAAUGCG